ACGGAGCGAAGCUGUUAGUACGACAGGAGUUCGAUAGAAAAUCGAUAGAAAAUGAUGUAGAUACAGAGACGUUUCACUUAGGUUUUACCAAAGACUAAUGGUGUAUGUACAUGGGUGUGAAUGUGUUUGUGUAUGGUGAAUUACAGCGAUGAGCUCAUAUACAUUUGGGUGCAAGAUAGGUCGUGUGUACAAGAGAAGAGUGUUAAUGCCGUUCUCCCGGGAACGCGCACGCCGAGCUUAUGCGGUUACGGGGUUUCGUUUAGCGAAUUGCGUCGAUACGGAGUAACAAUUGAGCCUUUCAUGUGUAAUACAACGAUAACGGUGGCAGCAGCACGGUUCAAUUUUCGAAGCAAGCUUAUCCGCCCUCUCUUGGCUGCGUAAGCGUUCGAAUGUAACAGAUCCCGGCACUGUAUGGCUCUUUGGGUGUGUGGGUGUGUGUGUGUGUGUGUAGAAAGUGCUGAAGGGAACGGGGGAAUACGGUAUGCAUCAAGGUGGGACCGUAUUGGCAAAUUGGUGCAUACAACAGCAUAAUCCGUGAACAAGAUAAUAUACAAAAUGUAAUGUAAACUAUUGCGAGAACUGGUAAGGGGCUACAGUGAAACACGCUAGUCAAAAUGGCAAAGCAUAGCAAGCGCUGCUAGAAGAAACCCCGCGACAAAAGCGCCAGACCGAGGAGGAGAAGGACCUACGAAAGGAAGAACAAAAAAUGGUGGCCUUUUCAGGUGGACUACUUUCAGGCGGCAAACGGGAUCUUCUAGGCGCAUGCUCUCGGCUAAGUGACGGUGCAAUCAACUUGCAAAAUGUGAAAAACGUGUAACCAAAAGAAUGAAACAGUUACCAAUAACAACUGUUUGAAGAUGAAACGUUGGUGCAAAACAUUUAGUUUGUCAUGUCAGUGAUUCGGAUAAUGUGCAACCUUAGACAUAGAAAACAAGCGCCAUGUGUACAGCGUUUGGUGCGUUUGAGUGUAAUCGUCUUAUCGAGUGACAGUUGUCAAAUUUGCUGCAUUAGUGAAACGUCUUGCGUCUUACGUUGAUGUGUUUAGUAGUUUGCAGAACUAACUACCCAUGUUCGUGUGUGCGUGUGUUCAUAUGUUACAGCAGCGUCUGUGUAUCGUCUAUUUACAGACAGACAGACAUGAGUGUGUGUGUUCAAGUCGGUUGACGCAGUUGUCGGUGUUUUCGUUGUUGCUGGUAGUGCGCGGUAGUGUUGAAUUUUGGUUGCUUGGUGUGAGAACAAACUAAGGUACAGAGCGUUGUGAAGUACAACACACAACCAACACAUGUAAAAACGAACGGGAAGCUUAUUUACAUCGCAAGCGAAAGCUUGAGCUAAUUGUACAACUCAACUCCACGGCGGACGGGGUGUAUGUAUCGCCGUGCCGACGAUAUGAUGAUGCUUGGCCGGACGCCACUUGGAGCGCAGAUUAGCCGAAACGAAGAGAUUAAAUUGGACAGUCCAGUUUGUGUCAAAGGGGAUAUUUAAAGGUAAAUGGGUCCUGUCCUGUAAGGUAGCUCCGGUGGCGACAAAUCAGUGUAGCAGAGCAUACCGAAGAACGCCGCAGCCAAAGUGACGAGAAGGGAAGGGUAAGGUGCAUCAGGGUUGGAUUUACUGUGUGGAGAGAAAGCGUUGCCGUUGCUCGGUUCGGUUUAGAUCCCCACGAUAAGCACCAUCACUCACGAACGAUCGCUUGCGUGCGUGUGUGUGUAUAUUGUGCUGGGGGUGGGAGGUGAGGGUGAUUUACAAAACCCUCAAGUCUGUGGUUUUGCCAUACCCAACGCUUUCUCUCUUGCGCAAUAUAUGGGAAUACCCGUUGCGGUAACCGACUGACUGGAGGACUAAACCAUCCAGAAUUCCACAACAUCGCAGUUAGGGACAACAAAGAACCUGCACAUACGAGCACGUUGCAGUAGCAGAAAAACACACACACACACAUGCUUCUCCUAAACCAUAGGACAACAAAAUCCACCCACGGUGGCGCAUCGUCGUGGUGGGUGAGGAAUUCAAUAAACAAAGACUUAAGUAGAAGUCUUGGUUUUUUGGUUCCCAGCAACUAAGUAGUGAGCAUGGGAGGGGGGAAAAGGGAGCUGAAACAUGCAGCGGUAGAUGCCCCACACUACUGCGGAGAAAUGUUUAUAUAAGAUUUAAUACAAAAACGUACU